rnacentral:tRNA from 1 species
GCCUCGGUGGCUCAGUUGGUUGAGUAUCUGACUUCAGCUCAGGUCAUGAUCUGACGGUUCAUGGGUUCAAGCCCCACAUCGGGCU